AGUCAAGAGAAGUUGAAUGGAAGCCAAUAAUACCAAGUUUGUACAGAACUGAGGUAAAUUAUCAGUAUAUUUUUUCACUGUGGUGCUGAGGCAUAUACCAGAGGAUUGGACAAAAAGUGUUUUUGAAGAAGAUUCCAUUUCUGGAUUCCUUGAGAUAUGUUUCUUUUUAUGAUUUGUUAUGACAUCAACCGUAAUACAGCAGCCUGUAUGAUUGGUAUUUGGUAGGACUUGUGUCCUUGUACAGAAACGUAGGAGCAGUCUUUGUCUUGUUGUUCAGAAUCAUCCAUACAUAGUUUUGAAUAAUGCGAUAGUAUAGCUGCUGUUGUCAUAGUAUUGGACAGAAGCUAAAUGUCUAAGGAAUAAAACAGCUGUAUGACAUCAUUGCAUCAUGCGUACUGAUAAUUUUAUUGAUUGGUUGCUGCAGGUUUCUUUCACAGGUUGGGUCUCAGUGGGAAGAACACUUCUGCAGAGUAAUGUAGGAACCUCGGAGUCUGCUGCAAAUUGCAACUCAGGUUAAUUAUGUGGAAAAAAAAAGAACGUACGUAUGUACUGCGCAAUAUUAAUUUGUAUCAGCUUCGUAUUUACACUACAAAAGAUCUCAAAAUCAAAUACCAUUCAACACCGUCCCAAAAAGUAGAAAAAAGGUAUUCGUAACCAAAGAAAUGGUCUUCAAAUAUAUUUGAGACCGCGAAAAGAGUUGAUGG
rnacentral:lncRNA from 1 species